GCGAGAAAGUAUCUUCGGAUAUGAGUAGAGCGGCGGACGGGUGAGUAACGCGUAGGAAUCUACCUAGUAGAAGGGGAUAGCCCGAGGAAACUCGGAUUAAUACCGUAUACCUCCUUCGGGAGAAAGAAGGCCUCUCAUUGAAGCUUUCGCUACUAGAUGAGCCUGCGUAAGAUUAGCUUGUUGGUGAGGUAAAGGCUCACCAAGGCAACGAUCUUUAGCGGGUCUGAGAGGACGAUCCGCCACAUUGGGACUGAGACACGGCCCAGACUCCUACGGGAGGCAGCAGUGGGGAAUAUUGGACAAUGGGCGCAAGCCUGAUCCAGCCAUACCGCGUGUGUGAAGAAGGCCCUAGGGUUGUAAAGCACUUUAAGUUGGGAAGAAAAGUUAUUGGCUAAUACCCAAUGACCGUGACAUUACCUUCAGAAUAAGGACCGGCUAAUUCCGUGCCAGCAGCCGCGGUAAUACGGAAGGUCCAAGCGUUAAUCGGAAUUACUGGGCGUAAAGCGCGCGUAGGUGGUUUAUUAAGUUGGAUGUGAAAUCCCCGGGCUCAACCUGGGAACUGCAUCCAAAACUGAUUCACUAGAGUACGAUAGAGGGAGGUAGAAUUCACAGUGUAGCGGUGGAAUGCGUAGAUAUUGUGAAGAAUACCAAUGGCGAAGGCAGCCUCCUGGAUCUGUACUGACACUGAGGUGCGAAAGCGUGGGUAGCGAACAGGAUUAGAUACCCUGGUAGUCCACGCCGUAAACGAUGUCAACUAGCUGUUGGGGAACUAUGUUCUUCAGUGGCGCAGCUAACGUAGUAAGUUGACCGCCUGGGGAGUACGGCCGCAAGGCUAAAACUCAA
rnacentral:rRNA from 1 species